rnacentral:rRNA from 1 species
UACGUAGGUGGCAAGCGUUAUCCGGAAUUAUUGGGCGUAAAGCGCGCGCAGGCGGUUUCUUAAGUCUGAUGUGAAGCCACGGCUCAACCGUGGAGGGUCAUUGGAAACUGGGGAACUUGAGUGCAGAAGAGAAAAAGCGGAAUUCCACGUGUAGCGGUGAAAUGCGUAGAGAUGUGGAGGAACACCAGUGGCGAAGGCGGCUUUCUGGUCUGUAACUGACGCUGAGGUGCGAAAAGCGUGGGGAGCAAACAGG